UACGGAGGGUGCAAGCGUUACUCGGAAUCACUGGGCGUAAAGGGUGCGUAGGCUGGCUUUUAAGUCAGAUGUGAAAUCCAAUGGCUCAACCAUUGAACUGCAUUUGAAACUGAAAGCCUAGAGUUCAGAAGGGGCAGAUGGAAUUAGUGGUGUAGGGGUAAAAUCCGUAGAUAUCACUAGGAAUAUCAAAAGCGAAGGCGAUCUGCUGGGAUGAUACUGACACUGAGGCACGAAAGCGUGGGGAGCAAACAGG
rnacentral:rRNA from 1 species